GGGGUUGUAGCUCAGUGGUAGAGUACUUGUCUUACACAUGUGAGGAACUGGGUUCCAUCCUCAGCACCACCA
rnacentral:tRNA from 1 species